rnacentral:rRNA from 1 species
CCUUCGGGANCAGGGGAGACAGCGUGGUGCUAUUGGUUGUCGUCAGCUCGUGUCGUGAGAUGUUGGGUUAAGUCCCGCAACGAGCUGCAACCCCUAUCCUUCUAGUAGCCAGCGUUUCGGGUGGGCACUCUGGGAGAGACUGCCAGGGGAUAACCUGGAGGAAGGUGGGGAUGACGUCNAAUCACUCAUGCCCCUUAUGACCUGGGGCUACACCCNUGCUACAAUUGGCGUAACACCCAGGGGACACGCGAACCCUGCGAGGGGUGAGCAAAUCCCAAAAAUAACGUCUCAGUUCGGAUUUGUAGUCUGCAACUCUGACUACAUGAAGCUGGAGAUCGCUAGUAAUCGCGAAUCAGAAUGUCGCGGUGAAUACGUUCCCGGGCCUUGUAC